AUGUUGUCCUAUGUUACCAAAGUAGAAGAAGAAGCAAUGAUCUUUCAAAAGGUUGAGACUUUGAGAGCCCAGAGCCUUGGAAUAAAGUCACACCGUGUUCCGGAAGAAGGAAAGGUGACCCAAAAGGUGUCCUCUGUAUCCAUCCGAAACCUCUUGGCUUAUUUACAAAAGAGAGUCAGAUCCAUUUCAAAUCACCUCUUCUUUCCAAAAUAUAAGGCUAUUUUUAGACCCAUUUCCACAAGUCUUCAGAGGCAAGCUGUGUUUUUUUUGCAUAUGCUGUCACAAUGUCCUGGAAUGAUCUUGAAUUUACUUUGGGCUCCACCGAGAAUGGAAUCCGAAUGUAGAGGAGGCAACAACACAAGGGCCAACCGUGCCCAAGAAUGUGGAAGGACACCAGUGAAGUGGCAGCCUUUCUGUUGUGGAGGGCUUCCUCUUUUUCUGAACUCUCACUUUGGCUGACCAGAACAGAUUGGAGAGCUGGGCUGAAACUAAGAAAAUGAUUUUGCGACACAGAAAAAUGUAAGGUGUUAGGUGGAAGAAAUGCAGUGUAAAAAUAUAAGAGUGGCUUGACAACCGUACCUGCGAAAGGAAUCUCAGAGUCUUAGUAGACCAUAAGAUGAACAUGAGUCAAGAGCUAAAAAUAGCCAAUGUGAAUCCAGACAGCAUCAAGAGGGGUAUAAUUUAUAAAACAAGAGAAAUACAGUCAGGCUUCCACAUUCAUUUAGGUUAACAGGACCAUCUGAAGGUGAAAAAUAAAGAAAUUGCUAGAUAUUUUUCACUAGGAAUGUAUAGGUCUUUCAGCGCAAUUCAAUUUUUGCUGGGAGCAGAACUAAGAUAUACACUGGAAGACUUAGAA
rnacentral:lncRNA from 1 species